rnacentral:lncRNA from 1 species
GUUGUUAUCUCAAUUUUUGAUACUUGUCCAUAUUGACCUUCAACUCUCGUCCGUGUUGACCAUCUCUGUUUCAAUACUCAUCCAUAUUGAUCGUCAACACUCAUCCGUGGUAAUCAUUCCUAUUUUCAAUAGUCGUCAGUAUUGAUCUCCAAUGCUCGUCCGUGUCGUUACCUUCCUUAAUGCUCGGUCUUAUUGGACUUUAACAUUCGUCUGUGUUAUCCCUCCUUUUUUCAAUAC